AAUCAACGCUGGCGGCGUGCCUAACACAUGCAAGUCGAGCGAGAAAAGGGGAGCAAUCCUCUGAGUACAGCGGCGCACGGGUGAGUAACACGUGGGUAAUCUGCCCUGGAGUGGGGAAUAACACCGGGAAACCGGUGCUAAUACCGCAUACGAUAACGAGGUCUGCGGACUUUGUUAUGAAAGGAGCAAUUCGCUCCAGGAGGAGCCCGCGGCUGAUUAGCAGUUGGUGAGGUAAUGGCUCACCAAGGCUUCGAUCAGUAUCCGGUCUGAGAGGACGGUCGGACACACUGGAACUGAGACACGGUCCAGACUCCUACGGGAGGCAGCAGUGGGGAAUUUUUCGCAAUGGGGGCAACCCUGACGAAGCAACGCCGCGUGGGUGAUGAAGGCCU
rnacentral:rRNA from 1 species